GUUGGGAUCAUGGCGGAGAAUCA
rnacentral:piRNA from 1 species